rnacentral:lncRNA from 1 species
GCGACAUGCGAGGAGGAGGGCAGCCCAGGAGGGUUGGGCAGGGCAGUGUGGACCUCGCCGCUUCCACAGCGAUGCUGGCUACUGAUCGCAGGCACCUCCUUGCCAUGGGAAGGAAAUUAAUGUUAUGACUGGAUAAAUUCGAGGUUGUCUAUCUCCGUUUUCUGAUGGAAAAGCGUGGAGUUCAGAAGCAUUGCUCGCUCCUUCAGUUUCUAACAAGCCAGGUCUUGGAGAGACCAGGAAGCCAAGAGUUUCCUCCAAGAAUGGAGAUUCCUUGGGAGCGAUGUUUGCCUUGAGUAAAGAAAGAUGAAUCACAUGUGGUCAAAGGCAGUUGUCCAGGGUCUCAAGAAAAGAGCCAGAAAGAGGAGCUGGGGCUGCUGGGAUUGUGGGGGUCCUCUCUCCCACCUAAAAAGCUACUACUGCCUGCUGACCCUCUGAAGAGGAGACCCCUCUGGGCUCCAGCACCUAAAACAGACAAAACUGGGAGGAUGGUUCUCUCUUCUGUGUCACACAUGUCCUAGAGAAAACCUGUGUAUCUAAAUGACCAAAGAAAACGAUGAGAAAAAAUGCAAAAUCUGUGCCAGGUCAUUCAGUGUCUGGCUAGGGCUGUGUGGUGCACAUGCAUUCCAAGACUGAAGGGUGCUGAGCCUGCAGAAAAUGUCUGUCAGACCUGCCUCUCACACCUGGAGUAUGACUGCCCAUCCAGGUUCAUGAUGCAGAACUGUCUUUAAAAGGCCACAGCAGAUAUGGAGAGAGGGAUUUCUAACCCUAAUAGAAUAUGACCAGCUGUCCCGCUGGGGAAAGCCGCAUGCACCAGUGAUGUGCUGCCUAAACUGGCCCAGACCACACUCUACUGCCUAAUGAAUAAGCCCCACAUUUGCUCUUUAUGGGUAAAGGGAGAGGGUGAGAGAGGAGAGGAGUGUCUGCACAGACAUGAGAAGCCUGCAGAUCCAGAUGACCCCCUUGCUGAUCAGAAUAUUAAAAAUCGAUAUGCGGAAACAAUGACCCCAUAGCAGAUAAGCUUCUAGAGCAGGCUUCAACCAUGCUUCAUCUGGACCCACUGGAAGAGAAGUGUGCCCGCCAUCUAUGUUGAUGGUCUGGGGGAUACCAUUUCUGAGACAGAUUUAAGAAAUGGUCUCUACCUGUUGGCGAGAUCCGGAUGGUCACUGUUGUGCAGAGACAGCAGUGUGCUCUCAUCAGCUUUCCACAGGGCAGGCUAUGGAAAUGGCCACUGAGAAGUCCUUUUGUAAAUUGAUUGUCCAUGGCUGCAGACUCACCGUCAAAUGGGGGAAGAUUCCAAGCCCUCAAGGAAAAGGAGAAAGAGAAGCACAGAACGGCAGACUCUGGGAUCCUGCCAGAGCCUAUUUCAGGGCCGCCAGGAGGUCCUCCUCCUGCUGCAGCUCUGGUCCCCACCUUGGAGCCUCCUUCGAAGGAGUGAGACUACCUUUCUGACUUUUUCUGACCAUAGACACCUUUUCUGACUAUUUCUGUCCUUUGGACCUGCCGAGGACAGCAGCCCCAGGGACCCGGGCUCCUGGGCCCAUUCUUCACCAGCUUCUACUUGAUCGUGCAAUUUGAAGUCAUUCUUGUGCAGUGGAAACAGGGCCCCAGGACAACCCGAUAGAUCAAUGGUCUCUGGCCUGUGCCCCACUGAUGGUUGGAUGGUGGCCACAGGGUGCUGGAGUCCAGCCAUCGCUGCUUCCUUGAGUUGAAGAGGUUGGAGGCUGGUCCACUUGCUCCUGUCCUGCCCUCAGCGAUGUGGAUGGUUGCUCUUUGAGCCUGGUAACAUCACUGGCUUGGCCCUGCCAGGCAUGCCCUGCCUUGUGGGGGCCCUGUGUACCCACACACUGCUUUAAGGGGCUUGCCCUUCCCUGGGCCAAAUUCUAGUUUUGGCCAGUGCCCCAGGAAGCUCAGUCCCCUCUUUUGUUAUCUUGGCUAUUUCUCUGGCACCCAUGGCUCCCAUGGGUCCCUUUUCUCCCAGGGCUUGGGCUGAGCUUGGCAUCUGUAGGUCUAGGAUGUUUGCCCUGUGAGGGAGGCUCUGUCACGCAAGUGGGCAGGCAUGGGGACAUGUGACAGGCUGCUGGCUGGCUGGGGCUCUGCAGAUGCCACAAUCCCCCUCCCCUCCAGCAGCCUCUGAGUCCAGCUUCCGCAUUGACACUGAUUUCACCCAGCUCAGGAGCUGUCUGGGGUUGUCUGGGUGCUGUCUUGACUCCUUUAAGGCUGUGCUGCUCAGUGGCCCCUGAGAAAGGUCAGAUCCAGGUGCCACCAUGGAAGGGGAGUGUCUACGGCCCUACUGCUGGGUUUUCAGUGGGCUGGGCAAGGCCUGGUUGUUGGGGCCCUGAGGGGGUUCGGGGCCAGGGCCUGUCCUAUUGUCCUGGGGGUGUCCAGGGAAGAUGUAGAAAGAACAGGGGUUUGGAAUCCCUGCUCAAAGCUGCAUUGUGGACACCAUGAGCCCCGGAUGUCCAGGUCCAUGGGGAGUUUGGGAGAGAAUUCCAACACAGAAAUCGCCAAAAAUCCCAUGGUCUAUCCUGAGAUAGGAACAGGCUUGCCACAUCUUGAGCCGCUGGGCCCCCAGAGAGUGGCCUGUUGCCCUGGGCUCCGUGGAAUUCUUCUUGUGCUGCUGGGACUUGGCCUCAGGUCAGCUUCUGGGCUUCUGGAGCUGGGCUAGUGGACCAGGGAGGGCCAACCCGUCCCCCUUGGGGAGGGCCUCCAUGCUGAGGGAUGCCCGCAGAGGCCUGGGUGCGAGAGACCCUCUCUCCAGGACCAGGGCCUUCCUAGGGAUCUUUGUAUGUUUAGCUGAAUGGAAAGCAAACUUGGUCCACUUCUCCCCCAAGCCCAUCUGACCUUUGUACGGCUGGGCCCCAGGUAUCUGGGUCCUUGGAGUUUUGGGGUCUCUAGUAACCCACCUGGUCUGACACUGAGGAAACACCUACAGGCUGCUGAUCCCACAGUGAGGGGUGUGUGCCACCUGGGGUAUGGGCGCUCGUGAAUGAGGGUCCCUGCUGAUCCCACAGUGAGGGGUGUUUCCUGCCUGGGGUAUGGGAACUUGUGAGUGGGGACCCCUGCUGCACUCUGUCCCUGUUGGUGCUCGCAGCUAUGGGUGUGGGCUGGCACAGACAGGACCGAGCCCUCCAGGGGCUUCCAGGGUUCUUGUAGGGCAGGAGGGGAAGGGUGUGGUGGGGGGCUUGGAGGGGUCUUGCCCUCAUCCCCUGCCCUGUUACUGGGGUGAGUCCAGCACCUGCCCUGGGGCCCAGCUGGCCUGUUUUUAGAAGCUUCUUAGAGAAGGAAGAGGAGAAGGAGAAGGAAGGCCUGGGGAGCAGGGAUGGAGGGUCCUGGGCACUCCCCACUAUUUACUGUCUUAGAUGGUGACUCAGGAGGGGACCUGGUGCUAGAGACCACCUUGGGGUCAGUGGUCAUAGUGCAUCUUUCUGAGCUCAGCCAUGGAGGCCUCAAAGUGCUUCACAAUCACAUCAUCGUCCAUAGCCCAGGUAUGGGACAGUGCAUCUUAGGAAAGCUCCCACAGGACAAACAGGAGAGCUUCAGGAGAGGGUCUAGGUUUGGGGCUGGGCAUCAGGCCAGGAGGGGUCUCCUGGGAGGGGUCUGUGACUUCACCUUAUUUCCGCCAUGGGCACCUCACACUAGGCAGUGCUGGGUCCUUUCUAGAUACCCCUGGGGUCCAGCUCUGCACAGGAGGCCACUAAUGGGGGAAGUUCCAGUCAGGGAAGAGCUUGCCACACUCCUGCCUUUCAUCUGAGUUGUGUCAGGGGUAGGUUCGGUUUCCAGGAGGACUCAUGGUGCCCUGUCCAGUCCACCAGGCCUGGCUUGGUUUGGCCGUCCCUCUGGGUUAAAGCAGAGGGUCCUGUGGACAGUGUGAGCACUGCCUUCGGGCCAGGUUUGGUGUGCUUGUGUGCUUCCCCAGCACCCUUGGGCACAUGGGGACAGGGUUCUGUGCACUUUCAAUGCCGCAUGUGCCCUGGCUAUGAGCAUGCACUUGCCCUGCAGAAGGCAGAUGUACCAGAGCCUGAGGAUGAGCUUGUGAUGAGCUUGACGUAGGGGUUUGUGGGAACAGCAGGCAUGGGAGGACCUGGCCCUUCACGGUGGAGGGCUGGUGGCCUGAGCAGGGCCUACUGGGGCCUCAGUCUGUGGUGCUGGGGGCCCCCUCUGCAUGGGAUGAGACCUCCCCCAGGAGGCUGGAUCAGAUAAGGUCCUGCAGCUCCUUAUGGGGGUGUUCUCAUAUCCAUCAAAUGUGACCCCUGAAAGAGGGGGCUCCCUGAGUGCUCUCCCAAGAUGAGUCCUGGCCCAGUCUGCCCAGGAUGCUGGCCCUGAGUCCCAGCCCCAGCCGUGUGAUGCCCCCUCUCAGGCAGGGCAUGGUUUGUGUGCCCUGCAGGGAUCUGCCUCUGCCUCCUGUGCAGAGGAGGGGAGCUGGGUCCUUCUGGAGGAGCCAGACUCCUGGGCAGGGUCCCUGGACUGGGUCUCCUGUGCACACUUGUCCCAUCAAGCAAGCACUGUAGGAGUCAGUUUAAGGUGGCAAUCUGGGUGCACAACAUUUGCUUGUCUUCAAGGAAGGAGCAGAGGUGUUCAGAAUCCCCUGGACUGCCCUGAAAACCUCACUCUUCCAGGCCCCUCUGCAGACCCUUCCCAAGGCCAGAUCUCUAGGCAGUAGGCUGGGCUGUCACCCUCUUCUCUGAGACCCUACCCCUGUCCUGAGACCUCCCCACUGCCCCUCAGAUGCCCCAUCCCUGCGGAUUGCCCACCUCCCCUGGCACCCUCCAUGCCCCACACGCCUUACUUGAUGCUGCAGCGCUCUCUGAACAUGGCAUGGCUUGUGAAGGUGUGGCUCACAUCUAGGUCAUUCUGGUGCAUGUUCAGAGGACAUCUUGGCCUGCUCCAUUUUCUAUAGAGCAGGGCCAAGCCUCAGAACAGACACAAGAGUCACUGUCAAAACUGCUGUCAUAAAACAGACAUUCUGGAAGGGAAGGAGUCUUUUUCUGCAGAUACUUCAUUUCCAAAGCCAGGAAAGUCAUCAGCACACAGCUCACCUGUGUUGCCCAUGCCACUGUCUGCCCAGGAUGUGUGACUGACCCCUUCCGCCCCUUUGGGGUUGACUUUCCCUCCAUCUGGGUAGCUGGGCUUCUGACACAGUCUGGCCUAUGCAUCCUGCUCUAGCUGGGAGUGGAAGGGCCAGACCUGGUGUUUCCCUGGGUUCUUGGCCUUUGUCUUCUCGACAUUCAGUAGGAGUGACCGUGCUGGGCCCCAGACCUCUGUGAGGAUUCCUUUUUAGACCCAAUGAGACAUUUGUGGACAGAAGAUGCUCUGGUGAGACAGACCUUAGGGUGACUCUAAAGGGGAUCUGAGCCUAAGGAUUCUGGAAGUUUCCAGUCUUUGGCUCCACAGUUCCUCAGGAGAGGUUCAGUCUGCCUAGGACUGGGCCUCCCUUUUCACGAAGAGUGGGCAAGAGCUCAGGUUGUGAACUCUGAUCUGGAUUUAUUCCUUCCUAUGGGAUGUCCAGAAGGUGUUCCUGUUCCUGGCUUAGAAGCAGACCAUGCCAAGGCAUCAGAUUCCUCCCAGCAAGGUGAUGCUUGCAGGGAUGGGCAGGAGGGCUAGGGACCAGGCCUGUUGUCCUUUCAGUGAGGAAAGUGUGUCCUGCCCUGUCUGAGAGGCAGGCAGCACCAGGAGGCAAAAAUGGGCUCCUGUCCUAAACCCUGAAGAGCAGUCAUGGGGGACCCUCACUCACAGCUGUGCCUUCUUGCUGUUCCUAGAUUUAUUCCAGUUAAGCAUUUAUAGGCAUUUAUCUGUGUGUCUGAUGCCCUGACGUUUUUGCUGUAGGUAAGAAGUGAUGGAGUGAGCUGAGCUGCCAGGCUUCCUGGAGUGAUUCUUGGAUGCUGGGUCACGUGGUUAGGGGCCCUGAUGGGACUGAACUGGAAGGAACCAGAAUAGGACAGAACCAAGCCCCUGAUUAGUGGGCACUGGUGGCCUGGCCUCAUGACCACAGGACACACUGUUCCCAGGGCACAGACACCCUGGGCUUUGGUUGGGUCUUGGCCUCCAGGUAGGGCCCUGUUGGGCAGCGGGCAGCAACUCCUGAGACACUACUGUGAUUCUUGGUGGUGGCUGUGGUAAAAAACCUGCAGGGCUAGAGUUUGGGGUGAGAUUCAGCAGUAACUGUGGCCUCUCCUAGUGACAGUAUGUCACUCCCACUCCCAGCACGCAUGCCCACAGGCCACGGCCUCCACAUCACAAACCCCCCACCAAGUUGCCCAUCUAUGGAGCAGCUCCCAUACGGCAGGGUCAGGCUCUUACCUCCACCUCCAGGGCACAGACAGGGGGAGCUCUGUCUCACUGUAAGGCAAUGAGGAGAGUUGAGGGCCCAGACCAGGCUAGGGGCCAUCCCCUUUCCCGAGCAGGCCUCAGGGAAGGACCAGCCCCAUUCCCAUCUGACCUAGGUCUUAGCCCAGGAGCCUGCAUAGGGAAGAAAGGACAGACAGGGCCUCCUUACUGGCUGACACUCAGGAGGGGCUGGGGCAAGAGAGCAGAGGGAGCGCAGGGCCAGGCAGGGGCUGCUGAGGAUCCAUGGGAGCUCAGGGUGCACAAGGGGGCUGCCCUUCCUGGGCUGCAGGCAGCAUCCCCUAUGGGAGCUGAGAAAGUCCAAUCCUGAGAUGGGACAGUGCUGCCCAGGGGUGUGUGGCUGGGCCCUGACAACAGUCUCCCCAAAAGUGACCACAUCACCAGGCUCAGUUCCAGGAAGGCUGAGAAGUGCCCAGUACACUGAGGAUGCACCUCAGUUACAUAAAAUAAAUGAAACUGGAGUACUAACGUACAGUUUAAAGGUUAUAGUUACUAUUUUUAUAUGAUAUACUAGUAAUUUUUGAAUAGGGUAAACUUUAGGUGUUUUGACACCAAAAGAAAACUACAUGAGUUCAUGCAUGUGUUAAAUUGCUUUACUGUAGUAAUCAUUUACAUGUAUAUGUAUAUAUGAAUAUAAUUAUGGGCUCAUUAAAUUUAAAUAUUAUAAAUAGGUGACAAAG